rnacentral:rRNA from 1 species
UACAGAGGGUGCAAGCGUUAAUCGGAAUUACUGGGCGUAAAGCGUGCGUAGUCGGUUAUCUAAGUCGGGUGUGAAAUCCCCGGGCUCAACCUGGGAAUUGCAUUCGAUACUGGAUAGCUAGAGUGUGGUAGGGGAGAUCGGAAUUCCUGGUGUAGCGGUGAAAUGCGCAGAUAUCAGGAGGAACACCGGUGGCGAAGGCGGGUCUCUGGGCCGAUACUGACGCUGAGGAGCGAAAGCGUGGGGAGCGAACAGG